UGUCACGACCGAAACUGUCAAAGGCAGCGCCCAGUCGCGUCGCGUCGUUCCUCUGAUGUCCGUGAAUACUUCCUGGUCCAAAGUUGUGUGUACUCAAAUCAAAGUCAGUUGAGCAUGAAGUGGGAUGGUGAACUCAUAUCAGGGAAGUACACUUCAACGGACAUUCACACUUCUCUAAACUGAGGGAUAGAGAAGAGAAGUUAAAUAAUUCAUUCCUCAGUCCUGACGCUUUGCAAACAUGAUACGAGCAGAUGAACAUCAUUUACGCAACGGAACCCUGAAGGCUCAUUCCGACCAGAAACAACAAGGAAGCAACAGUUUGAAAAAUGGAUUCCACGUUGCUGGAAAGGUGCAGAAAAAUGCCAAUGGAGACAGUUUUCAUCAACCUCGAGUUAGGGGGGAAGAUUCGUUUGAGGAAGCCCCCAUGUAUGUGGCUGUCCUGACAUACAUGGGUUAUGGAAUCGUCAUCCUGUUUGGCUAUUUCAGGGAUUUCUUAAGAGCUGUUGGCUUAGAGAAGUGCCAUCAGGCCCAGGAGAGAGAAGAGCAAAAGGACUUUGUUCCCCUUUACCAAGAUUUUGAAAACUUUUACAAACGGAACCUGUACAUGAGAGUCAGGGAUAACUGGAACCGUCCUAUAUGCAGUUUACCCGGUCCAGUUUUUGAUGUCAUGGAAAGGGUCUCGGAUGAUUACAACUGGACUUUCAGGUUAACAGGAAAAACCAUUGAGAACGUCAUAAACAUGGGCUCCUACAACUACCUGGGUUUUGCUGAAAACAAUGUCGACUUCCUGAAAACUGUAGCAGAAGAGACCAGACAGUAUGGGGUGGGCGUCUGCAGUACAAGACAGGAACUAGGCAACUUAAGCAUCCAUGAGAACCUGGAGCAACUUGUGGCGGAGUUCUUGGGGGUGGAGUCUGCAAUGGCUUUUGGAAUGGGUUUCGCCACCAAUUCCAUGAACAUUCCAGCACUAGUCGGAAAGGGCUGCCUGAUCCUGAGCGAUGAGCUAAAUCACACGUCCCUCAUCCUGGGAGCCAGGUUGUCUGGGGCAACCAUUCGAGUCUUCAAACACAACAACAUGCAGAGUCUAGAAAAGCUGCUGAAGGAGGCGAUUUGCUCAGGUCAACCUCGUACCCAUCGUGGUUGGAAGAAGAUCCUCAUCAUGGUGGAGGGCAUUUACAGUAUGGAAGGCUCUCUAGUCCGGUUGCCAGAGAUCUUAGCAUUAAAGAAGAAGUAUAAGGCUUAUCUGUACCUCGAUGAGGCCCACAGCAUUGGGGCCGUGGGCCCCACAGGUCGAGGAGUUACAGAACAUUUUGGCGUGGACCCCAAUGAAGUGGAUGUUCUGAUGGGCACCUUCACCAAGAGUUUCGGGGCUGCUGGCGGGUAUAUCGCAGGGAAAAAGGAGUUGGUGGAUUAUUUGAGGAGUCACUCUCACAGUGCGAUGUACGCUACUGCCAUGUCCCCACCUGUCGUGGAGCAGAUCAUUAGGGCAAUUAAAUGCAUCAUGGGUGUCGAUGGCACGACCGAAGGCCAGCGAAGAGUUCGGCAGCUGUCUGAGAACACGCGCUACUUAAGAUCUCGGCUGAAGGAGAUGGGCUUCAUCGUUUACGGCAACCAGGACUCUCCAGUGGUACCGCUCCUGCUCUAUCUACCUGGGAAAGUUGGGGAGUUCUCACGGGCCAUGUUGAAGAGGAAGAUUGGUGUUGUAGUUGUAGGUUUCCCAGCUACACCCAUUGCAGAGGCCAGGGCUCGCUUCUGUGUGUCUGCCGCCCACACCAGAGAAAUGCUCGAUAAGGUUCUCCAGAACCUUGAUGAGCUUGGAGACCACAUCAGGGUGAAGUUCUCCCGUCGCAGACCUUCUCAUCGGCAGGAGCUGUAUAAUGAAACAGACUUUGAGCGGGACAGCUAAUCACUCAUCGGCAUCACCGUGAGUGUGAUGGCUUGUCCACAUUGAGGGAAUGCCAAGGGGAUUGUGGGAAAAAGGGAGGAUCCGCGACGGCUGUGUUUACAGAACAUAUAUCAAAAGCUGCUCUAAAUAUAUCAAAUAAUUAACUCCCUUAACACUGACCUACAUCAAAACUCUAGAUGUGGAUAAGAAAUCCCUUGAAGUGGCCCUAUUUUUUCUUCCUGCUCCUGGACUGAUGAAAUACCUCCAUUUUUGUGUUGGAUUGUGUAUUUGUGUUAUCAGCAAGUGCAUAAAUUGAAAGAGAUUGAACAAAGCUGGGCGGUUCAGACCCAGCGCUGCUCAUUCAUAGUCAUUAAACAUUCAUGCAUUGCAUCUCGCAGAUCCCAGUCCUGCAAAUGUACAUUGACAGGCAUUUAUUUGCAUUUUUUGUGCAGGAAACUACUUCUAAUUAUAAAACAUUUAUGGACUGAUUGUACUUAUAAAAUGUUUGCUUGGAAAGUUUGAAAUGGUUUUGUCUCAUUUGUUUGCCAAUUUCAGAUGCAGUACUUUUCAUUUGCAUGAUUUUAGAUUUUAUUUCACUCAUAUUUUCUUCAGAAAUAAAAACAUCUGGUUAACGAUGA